rnacentral:rRNA from 1 species
UACGUAGGGGGCGAGCGUUGCUCGGAAUCACUGGGCGUAAAGGGUGCGUAGGCGGGUCUUUAAGUCCGGGGUGAAAUCCUGGAGCUCAACUCCAGAACUGCCUUUGAUACUGAGAAGCUUGAGUCCGGGAGAGGUGAGUGGAACUGCGAGUGUAGAGGUGAAAUUCGUAGAUAUUCGCAAGAACACCAGUGGCGAAGGCGGCUCACUGGCCCGGUACUGACGCUGAGGUGCGAAAGCGUGGGGAGCAAACAGG